ensembl:lncRNA
GGCAGGUUUGCGUGUCUCCCUCUCUCUGCCCCACUGUUUCCCUUAGAUCCAAAAUGGCUGGCGAUGUUCCCUGAACACACACCCACCUCCAUUUCCUCCCCCCCCAUUUUCUUCUCUCUCUCUCGUCCUCCCCCCUCUCUCUUUUCAAGGAUCUUGGUGUUAAUGCUGUAGGUCUUUAGCUUGAAUGCAAAGGCUGUUUUCUGUCAGUUCGGCACACCAGCCUGUGAGAUGCCAUCUCGCUCACAUUCUUCCCAACGCUAGACAGAACUGAGGAAUCUGAAAGGCAUUAUUGGUGCUCCGGCAGCCUGACGCGCCCUGUGCACUUGACUCGCUCGAUUUGCAUAUGCAAUGCAGCCAUACUUAAUGAGUGGGCACCACUGAACUUCAGGGGCCCGCAGAGAGGAUGAAUCUGAAUGGCGCUGUGUGGAAAGAUCAGCACCGAAGUGUCUGUAGUCCUUCCCGGUCAGGACAUGGAUGCUGCUUGUGAAUUUAAAACCAAAGACAAUCAAGAUCUUGGAGAGAAAGAGAAGCAAAGAAUAAAUCAUCCAAUAAAUUCUUGCCAGAAAACCGCCUUUGAAGGAGUCAAGAGCAGGACAUUUGCCUGUAAAUAUAAGGUGAUCCUGGCUGCUUUUUCUAACUCUGUUUCCUGAGUUCUUCAGUUCUCUUCAAAACUCCAUUGAUUGACUGACUAUGCCUCCAACUCCUGGUUUUGAAAAGCCACUAAAACUUUAUUUAACCCAGAGGGAACAUAACAGAAGCAGAUGGUUACUGAAAUCUUAGAGGGAUUCCUAAUCUUAUGAAAGCCCAGCAGUGCUUCCCUAUCUGGUCACAGUCUAACUCCACAACUUGCUCAAGAGCUGACUGACCAUCCUUCAUAUUCAAAGCCCCUCCCCCUCAAAUUUCCAUAUGAGCAGACUGGGUGGAGCUUCCAUUCAGAAGUCCAGACCUCUGUGUGUCCAUGAAUCCAGUGGUAUAUGUUCUUUUUGGUCUUCGUCCGGUAACAUACCCAAUCAUACAAGUCAACUUAAGAACUCUUAUCCUAUAACAGCAUCUUGGACGUCUGACAAUUUCAAGUUAUCAUAGUUAAUUCUCCACACAUGCCCAAAUCCUUUACUUCAAAAUGACUGUAAUAGGGGGACACUUUAUGCUGUUGGAGAUACUGUCCUUUAGAUGAGAUGCAUAAAACAAAUAUCCUUUUCAGUUCUCAUCAUGAAAAAUCCUUGGCACUACUUGUCAGAGUAAGAUUAAAUUAUUAACAUAGUCUCCUGGGUCAGCCUAACUAUUCCCCUGUAGUUUGAAUAGGAUAUUGUAAUUAACUAUUAUAUUUUUCACGCUCUGUUCUAAACUACUGUUGUAAUGCUUCUGUGAGCUGUUAAACUGCAGCUCUAUUUGACCCUUGAUGCAGUAGCAUUUCAGUAGUGGAUUAAGUUUUAUCUAUGUAUAUCCUGUUUCUACUUAAGUGUGGUGUUUGAUUUUUAGGGCUUGUCUUCAUGGGGUUAUUCCGGAAUAGCUAUUCCUGAUUAACGAUUUCUAAUUAACUCCAUAUGUGAAUGCUCUUAUUUCAGAAUAAGAGUGCCGUAGUGCAUUAAGCUAAUUUUGAGUAAAGAACUCUUAUUCUGGAAUACCAGUGUUCACACAUGGAGUUAAUCAGGACUAGUUAACCGAUUUUUAAAUUUACACCCUACUUUAUUCCAGAUUAAUUUUCACAUGUAGACAAGCCCUUAAUUAGAAGAUGUUAAUAAAAUGCUCUGAGGUCUCUGAAAGAUGGCA